rnacentral:lncRNA from 1 species
UCCACUAAUUUUAUUAUAUAGUAAUAAAUAAAAACACAAAAUGUUUUCAUAACAAAUAAAUUUUAUUAUUGUUGUACAUGAUAUUUUUUUGUAGUUAUAUCAAUCCUUGAAUCAUUGAUUGUAAUCAAGUAUUUAAUCUAUACUCGUCACGUGAAUGGUCACAUGAGAUAUUGAAAUCAUUUAUAACCGAGUAUUACGUAUUUCAAGUUCAAUUUAUUAAACAUGGUCAAGGUUAUUCAACGAUGUUUCUCGAGAAAAAUCUAACAUUAGAUAUAUGGAAUGAUAUCAUCAAAUGUAUUGUCAUCAUUUCCAAGAUUCAUCGAUUGACCUGAAUAAUUUUCAAAAUGAAACAUUGUUUUCUCGAAAUUUCGUAACAGAUAUAAAGAAAAGCUCGAUAUAUGUUCGAUGGCAACAAGAUAGAAUUUUUGCAGAAAAAAAGAUUGGAAAACUCGGUAUUUGUUCAUCUUGAAUCACAGGCCAACAAUGUCGAUCGAUAUUCUACGAAGGCGAGAACUACGACAGCUUAAGGAGAAAACACGUUCCACUUUCGUCGUACAAAGCUUGAUCGAGGAAGCGAGAGAAACAUCGUAAAGAAAGAAAAAAAACUAGCGAAGAACGUUUAAAAAGUAGGAAGAUCGAAAUCACUUUUGUUGCUUCGAUCUAUGAAACUUAGUAGCUCUUUAUUUUUAAUGAAAAUAACCGGAUAAGAAUUACGAUCGCAUUUCGCUUCAAUAAUUACAGAUAUUGCUUCUAUUGUUAAUUACUCGCCACGAUUUUAAUUAUAUUUUUAAUUACCUGAUGUAUCGUGUACAGUUCAUCGGUCGUGAAACAUUUUCAAGAAAGCUUCCAAAUUCGUAUCUAUAAUAUUCUCGUUCAAUUAUAUAGCUACUUGUAAGAAAGGUUAGAUUGAGAGAGAUUCGAUACAAUAUCCCUCGAGACAUGUAUCGAGUUUAACAAGUGUUUCUCAUUCGUUCUUUUAGGAAAUAUCGAUAUCGCGCAAAGUCGAAUAUGUGUAUAUACAUCGAAGAAUCGAUCGAGAUAAACGAUCGCGACAGAUAAACAUAAACGCAAUAUGGACGCGUCGCUUGUUCGGAUUCUUUCGCGUGGUUUUCUUUACGAACGUUAUAAACUUUAUUCUCGCAAAGAAUUUAGGAUAUGAGUAGUGCACACUCAAACUAGUCGGAAAUGGGUGUUGUGUAAAAAAUUUCGUUUUCUUGCGCUCGUGCAAGUCGUCCGCUUUCGAAAAAUCAAGAGAAAAGAAAGAAAAGGAUUCUAACCUAGUUCCAUUUGCUUUGAUGAAACGUUGUGUGCGCGGUCACGUGCUUCGCUAAAAAUAAAGCUUGAUUCGAUUAUUUGUUUCGCAGAUAAUUUGUUUCAUAAUUCUUGGCAUAAAAAUCGUGUUAUAUUAUAUAAUCAUGCGAUAAUGGAUAAUCGAGAAACUAUCAAAAUAUCGAUAAAAGAAGAUGAUGAAAAUCUUAGAUUCAGUGGUCUUCGAAUCCUGACUUUAAGCAUAACAAAAAUGAUUUCAUAUUUAUCUACAAAUAUCUCUACAAAUAAUAAAUUCGAUUUGGUGAAUUUUUAAGAUGGCGAACGAAACAAACCUUUUUCGAUUGUAUCCUAGUAUAUGGAAGUAUAGUUAUGGAAAAUUUCUUUCGGAAGAAUUGCAAUAUUAAAGUUUAUCGCAAGAUUUUCCACAAGAUAUGGUGCAUAACAGAGAAACAUAACAGAGAUAGAAAAAGAGGUACGGAUGAAGAUAAAAGUGGAGAAAGUGCUAGAAAAGGAAAAUUGCGGAAAAUCUUACUUCUAAGACUUCGUGACCCCGAAGAAGUUAUCCUUGAAGGUAGCGAGGUGGAAGGACAAAAAAGUAAAGAUGUUCGAAGAAAUCUUUUGACGAGUGGAAUGAGUAAGUUUGGAAGAAGAAACGGAAAAGAAUUUUUUUAAAAGAAGCAUGCACGUUGAACAGAAUGAAGUGUCGAUAAUAUAAAUUGCUACGCAAAUGUAAUUUUUAAAUUUCACCGUUAAAUUAUAUCGGUAAUUCAAUCUCGGUCUAUUUCG